rnacentral:rRNA from 1 species
AGCGAACGCUGGCGGCAGGCCUAACACAUGCAAGUCGAACGAACCUUUCGGGGUUAGUGGCGGACGGGUGAGUAACACGUGGGAACGUGCCUUUAGGUUCGGAAUAACUCAGGGAAACUUGUGCUAAUACCGAAUGUGCCCUUCGGGGGAAAGAUUAAUCGCCUUUAGAGCGGCCCGCGUCUGAUUAGCUAGUUGGUUGAGGUAAUGGCUCACCAAGGCGACGAUCAGUAGCUGGUCUGAGAAGAUGAUCAGCCACAUUGGGACUGAGACACGGCCCAAACUCCUACGGGAGGCAGCAGUGGGGAAUCUUGCGCAAUGGGCGAAAGCCUGACGCAGCCAUGCCGCGUGAAUGAUGAAGGUCUUAGGAUUGUAAAAUUCUUUCACCGGGGACGAUAAUGACGGUACCCGGAGAAGAAGCCCCGGCUAACUUCGUG